UUUUGGCGGGAACGCGAGGAGUGAAGUUGUGUGAUUUGUUUUAUUUUGUCUACUUAGUGUUUCUUCAGGUUUAAAUGUGUAAUAACGGUGGUUUAUUAACUGUUUAAUAUCUGUGAAAGUGCACAAAUGUGGGAAAAUGAAACAAAGCCGCUGGACGUAACUUCUCGGGAUCCUCCAAAAGUCCACUCAAAAAAUCUUAGUAAACACGGCGCAUUUUUCGAAAAACAUUUUAAACUGCUCACUGAUAGUACAGACUGGUAAACAACAAGUCUUCUGCAAGAAUAAAUUAAGUAUACUUUAAAGUUACCGGCAAACUUCAAUACGAACGAAUAAUUCAAGAAAUGCAAUAAUUUUUUUUCUGUAUAACGUAGCUUAGACAAACUUUUCAGAGCAUGUUAUUGAUAUACAAUUCCUCGAGCUAGACCUGUCGUAUCCUCAUCAUAUUCGACUUUCGCUGAUGAUAUAUUACGGACGGGCGAUUUUAUUUAUUUGAAUACUUGGGUUUUUUAUCGGCUUUGUAGCCAAACGAGCAUACGGCCCACCUGAUGAUAAAUGGUUACUGUCGCUCGUGGACAUCAGCAAUAGAGGCACAACCAAAUCGCUGGCCGUUUAUUAUGCCGUACAUUUUUGUUGAUGCAGUGAGAUUUCAAUAAAAUGAGACCAGUAAGUAAUAUUAGAUAGUAUAUUAACAGAAAAGAGAAAAGAAAACGAGGAGCCAUGACAGGUAUCCUAUAUCUGUGUCUUGUAGAUGACGCUAUAACUAAAAUGAAUCAAGUUACCAUAGAUUAUAAAAAAAAAAAUUGAUUAUUUUACACACGUUAAAUGAAACUAGUGGUCCCGCAGUAGUCGAAAUUCGACUAUAAUUAAUUGGAAUUGUAAGUUUUGUACAUUAUUAUGAUUGUAAUUUAUACUUCUAUAAUCACAAAUUUCGCCAAGACUACACUAUAAAAAUAUUAACAAAGACAAACAAUAUUUAAUCUAUUCUCAAUUUGACAACAGACGUCAAGAACAAAAGUUUGACAAUAAAUAGUAUGCAUGCGUGUGUGCGUCAAAUACAUGGUAUGUAGUGUGUGUAAUGUUUUCUUUAUUGAUUUAAUGAAUCUUUUAUGCAUUAUUUUAAAAAAAUAUUAGGAUUGUGCACUUCUAUAUUCUCUAUAAGUGUGAAAAAUUCCAUACUCCUCCGUCCGCGCAAUUUCCGUAAAAAGGGAUACAAAGUUUUUGCUUCACGUAUUAAUAUAUAGAUAGUCCAUUUACAAAAUCUUCUUGCUUAUCUAUGAAAAACAUUUGAUUGUGAAUUACGUACAACGUUCUAAAUUCAAUUCAAAACUGAAACGAUUCGAUUGAUGGUCUUGUACACAAAUUAAACGCGCGUAUGUACUUUACAAAAAGGACGAACAUCGAAAAUAACUCGUCUGACCGUUUCCCUUUCGUCGGAAGAUGUGUAUCUAUAAACAACUGAGACAAGAGACUGCUCUCUCUUUCGCUCGAACGCGACAUUCCCUAGACGCCACGUGUCACCACCGUACGUAAUGUAUCAAACACCGUAAACCGAUGAAUGAAUUUAACUUUUAUCGCAUUCAAAACAAGGUCUUAAAUAAGUUUUGAAUUCAGACGUCUGCUUUUAACUGGGUCAAAACGUUACAUGCGCUCGCUCGAUACAAGGCAGUUCGAUCUCAAUUUUAAAGCGACUAAGAUUAAUAUUUUAUUGAGGAAUCGAUCACAGAAGUAGUGUGCUCCAUUUCAAAUUGUCUUUUCGAACGUUUUUUUAAUAAACACGCAAAUUUGAAUUAUUUUAAUAUGAAUUAUGUGUACAACCUUUUUUCAUUACCGAUGCGGAAUGUAAUGAAUUUGAACAUUGGCGAAUGAUAGAUUAAACGUAAACCAUUGUAGUAUGACAGAUUACUGGGCCAAAACAAACUUGCGAUGAACGUUGCCAAUUCCAGUUCGAUCAACCUUACACCCUCCCCACUCCACUCCGCAUCCCCUGUCAACCCGAUGCGUAAGACGAAUCAUUAAUCAUUUCUUCGCGUACAUCUCGAAAUUUUGAGUCCCACGAAUUUGACGCUUAAGUUAAAACGUUAAGGUACGUUUCUAAACGCAACCGAAGAGCCGUUAAGUCUUUCUACCGUGACCGACCGGGCUGUGUGUCGACGCACCUCUUGUUACCUCCGUACCCCUGGUGUUAUGUAAGUCGGGUGCAAUGGCCGCUUAAGAACAUAGGAAAGGUGUUUCUUUCACGUACGAGAGUUUUCACGAGCCCCCUAAGCACUUGAUGAUGCGCGGAAUAUCAUCACCACCACAAAUCCUCAAUGGAAUAAUGUCACAAAAAAUUGUCGAUGGCUUCGAUUGAAACGUUUCCGUCACUCCGAUUCACGCGACACGGAAACAAAAAUACGUUCAAAAGGUCCGUGAACCGAAAACCGAUCGCGCCCCAACGCGACCCAAAUGUUAAGAAGGCACAUUCGAAUGUAAUCGCGAUGCGGUAAUUAGCCGGUACAGGCGCGAAUGUGGGUUAGAUGAGCGGUGGCAGCCGGCGGUGUGUCGCUCGGGGACCGCUGCCGGGGUCGGUGACCAGUAUCGAUCGGGGGUGCGACCAGCCUGGCGCCGCACCCCCGACUCCCACACGACUACCGCAUGCGUCACUCCAGUCAACAUUGCACCACGCAACUAAGUUUUUCGGACUGCAGAGUUCAACUUGAACCGGUUUUGCGGUUCAUAUUAAAUUUGUUAGGUAACUUUUUGAAGUUAGAUGAGGCUAAUUUUGUUGGUUCUCUAAACGACCUAAUCCAGAUAAACAAUAAACACUUAUGUAACGAAAAUUAACGUUAACGUGAUUAAUCUAACACAAUUAAGCUUUACGUCAACGAAAGCUUGAAGUUUUGAAUCUUGUUGAUGUUGAGUUGAGGAAAUUGAAAUAUUCGAUCAAUAUAAUUACCAGGGUGGCCGGACACGUGAAGAUGUAUCUGCUGUACAUAGUGUCAAAACUUCUCGAGUUCAAUACAGUUCACAGUACUCGCGGAGCCGAUGUCUGGCGCUUCGCCAAAACUGUGACGAAACUUCUUUCUAUUGACCGACGCUCUAUUUUUUUUCUAUUCCCAAUGAAAAAGCAAGACAAUUAACAAGGCGAUCAUCGUGCCAAUGGCAUUUUACCGAUCAAUAAUUUACAACAUAGUAGAAAUAAUCGUGACACGCAAUCUGUGAUUUGGUUUUAACGCUAAAAAGUACGUUUUUAAAUCUACGUUGAAUAAACAGGAUAGUUCGUUUACACAGCUCGGCAAUCAUCACAAAAAGCGAUAAAAUAAACAACAAAGGUAUUCAGAUUCAGGGAAUCGUAGAGGCGAAAUAGAUGAAAAAGCUUUCCCGUUUUCCCGGUCAUCCAUUAUAGGCGGGAAGAAUGCCUACAGCUUUGUAUAGGAACUUUGAAGGGAGAGCGCAGGAAAACAGCUUGUCGAGGCCCGCGCAGCCCCGCGUUGCCGUCGCCAUGGCAACCUCUCGUGAUUUAUGCCAGCCUGGUGACCGGCCUCUCCGCGGCUUGUUAUUGGAAAGAUUUCUUAAUCUAUAAAGAUCCGCGUGUUCGAGUAAUAACUGAACCUCAAUAAAAUUUUAUGUCCUAUUUGGAUUAUAAUUUAGAUCGUAAAGUUGGUUCAUCCCAUGAGGGGCUCGUAAAACGUGCCAGGGGGUUACAUCGACUUCUGAAAAGUGCGCGGUGUUCACAAAUGUUGGCAUACGGUUAAAUUGGUUUCAGAGGAUACAACAAGCACAACAUAAUUUGAAUUUUUCCGUCGUAAUCGGUCGAUGUAGACUGAAUGUCGCUUUAACAAAAUCAAACGAUAUGAUUCAGACUUGCAAUGUGUAUUGAUAUUCAUCUAUCCAACUAUGUAUGACUUCCAUACGGGUAGCAUUGCUUGACAUAUUAUUGUGUAAUUUUCAUAUAAAAAAACAAAAUUUUUUUUAAUUAAUGACUGGAAAUUCAACGUACCCAAUAAAAAUCAAAUAUCGAAUUACGAGAUACUCCUAAAACUUGAUCUUUUUGUAUAUAUUUGAAUUAAAUCGAUAUUAUUACUGCUAAGAAAUUCGUUAGAAAAACCUCUAGUGUUUGAAAGAGAGAUGUGACGGUGUGCGAAGGAGAGGUCCGAUGAGGCUUUGUCUCGUUCAUUAUUCAGGAAUGAGUACGGUUUUCGUAGCUCUCCCCUCUAGUAGCGUAUUUGUAUUAUACGUUAUAUAUAGGGUGUUCUAUUUGACCCAAAUAUAAGAUACGGGUUCAAUGUAAUAUUCAAGCAGCAUCUUUGAUUACAAAUCUGAAAGUUAUGUGGAAACACAUAAGGAAAAUCAUUUAUGAGAUAGUUCUGCAUAGUCGUAUUGCAUUUGUGAUGAACCAAUGGGGAAUUAUAAAUACAAAUUUCAUUAAAAAUAUGAUUAUUUGGUUAAAAAUAACUCUUAAUCUAUAACUCUUAUCUAAAAUAAGUGUAAUCUUCCUUUUGUCAUUUUCAUUCUACAAUGUUUCUAUAUUUUAUAUACUCAUGUUUUUGUGGUGACGAACCACUAGUGAAAUAAAAAUCAAUUUUAAUGACACCUUUGACUCUCUAAAACCUAACAAAUAACCUAUGUUUCUGUACAAAACAUAAAAACUGCAUUGAUAGUAUUUAGAGACGCAUUUCUUUUUUAAUAAAAAUCAAUUCAAUAUAUUUUCCUCUGAUGAAACCAUUUCCCGCAAACCUUUUCACGGACGAGUGACGGGCUCAAUGGAACCAACCGAAUAGCCAUUCACAGACUUAUGUUUCUGUAAGGGUUUUAUAAUUGUUCCACUCAAUCACGUGAUUGCUCCAAUGAAUAAAGCAUUGAGUAUAUUGUGGCUAAGAAAUCUAUAAAUGAUUCCUAAAGUAGGACUAACGAAUGUAUAGAAUAAGCACAACAUUAACAGUGACAAUGUCUUAAACUGUUAAGAACAUAACAAAACUAUACUUCCUAUUAAGUAUGGCGAGGAUCGGUGGUAAGGAAACGGUGAUCUUGGAUUAAGACUCUGGGUAAUUGCUGACACCGCAGAAACAUUACCUUAACCGAUAACCGUUUUCGGGUAGUCUAUACCUUGUGUCAGAAAAGCCAUGAGAGUUGAGACUCAUGCUGGAUGAAUCUAUGACCCGUUAACUUCCCACUAAGUCAGAAACUUUACAAGAUUUCCAAACUUCAGAUUAAGACUUAUGCGAAUGUAGUGUUCGCUCACUCGCCCCCAUCCAAAUAAAAAUUAAUCCAGACUCUUCGAUUUUGCUUCAUUUGUUUCGUUAGGUUAGCUGUCAGAGUACCAUUAUAUAUCACGUCCUUACGGAUCCAUCAGAUCCAAUAACCUUUGCAUUAGACGCCUUCAGCUCUAAUACUAGGAGCAGGCUUAGGGACCCCGGUAACCGUACUCGUCGAACUUGACAAAGAGGUCGACGUGCAACCUAACCCAUGCAUCAGCCCGCUGAGUUUCUCGCCGGAUCUUCUCAGCGGGUCGCGAUUCCGAUCCGGUAGUAGAUUCAUUCGCGAAGCAGUUGCUCUUGAGUUGUUAGGUCUCCUUCGGAGGCGCUCGGGCACCUGUUAGCAAAUCCCACCCCUCCUGGCUGAGCCUUUGCUCGUCCACCUGUCCUGGUGAAACUGGAAAGUCUUUCGAGCCACGAGUAAUCCUUCAAUCAUAAAAAAAACCCGUUAUAUAUUCUACAUGUAUAUUUACAACGACCUGGAUCUCGAACCCAUCCAUAGGUAUAUAAAGGGCUCACGCAUCAGACGAGCAGCGUCGACAUUCCGAACCAAUUCGAUCAUCCUAAUCAACCCUCAAUUCUGGAUACUACUAGUUCUAACGCUAACAGAAUUUCGACCAGUGAAGAAACACAAAUAAGUUAAUGAAUCUUAAAAUAAAACUGUUUUUUAACCGUACCCUCUGUAAACAUAUGAACAUACUUUAAUAAAGUACGUACAUUGAUCGUAAUAAAAAGACUCAAACGUUCAUGAAUAAGUAGUGAAUACCCUGCCGAACCGAUUCCAACAUUUUCGUGAAUUGGAUUUACCUUGUGUUUCAUUUUGCGGUAUAGAUACAUAAAUAGUGGGCGUUUUUUUCUUCCGAAAUCACGUUCCCUAUUGUUUUCAUUACAUUGCGUAGAUACUACACGUACUUCAUAGAGAGCAUUGUAAACAUCGGUCAUUUGGUUUACUUUUUUUUGGUUUACCCGCGCGGACUCACAAGAGGUCUUACCACCAGUAAUUACGGAAAUUAUAAUUUUGCGGGUUUUGAUUUUUAUUACACGAUGUUAUUCCUUCACCGUGGAAGUCAAUCGUGAACAUCUGCAUUGGAUGCGGGAAACACGAGUGCCAUUACACCGCAUACGUUUACGAUGUAAUAACAUUUUAUUCGCGUUUUUUUAUAUCAUACAUUAUGUGAAUAUAAAGUUUCAAUAUCGACUCUAAAACAUGGAAAUGUCGCGCGCGCUACUGUUGCCGACAGGGUGUUUGGUCGUAACGCACUCUGAGUAAUUAAAUUGUUUUUUUUUAUCUCCUACCUAUGCUGAUAGCGUUGAGAGGCUAUUUCAGCUUCACCCUAGCGUGCAGGUGAGCUCUCAGGGCUCAAACCGGAAGUGUUGCUAACACUGGCCCUACAUGUAAAACAUGCCUAAACAGAAAACUAUACUGACAGUUAACAUCAUCAUUUACAUCCUGUUAUACCGGUCAGGAUAUUAGAGCGAAGUUAUAGAAUUAUUGUAUUAUCAUUAGUCUUUGGUGCGUGUGCAAUGUUCAAGCUGUAGGUCGUCUUAAAGUCUGCGAAGAUGACGUUAAAUAAUUCCGUUACAUACAUAUAUACUAAGCUCAUAAAACCAUGUUAAAAAUACCGUACGAACACUCGUCCGCCUCUGAAAAAAACUUUUGCUGAAAACUGUUCAAAAAUUCAACUAAACCGAAUUAAGACGUAGAUCACGAACAAACUGCAAACAAGUUUAUAAAAUACAAUAAUAGUUCGCUUCGUCCGCGUGAAUUUAUGUAGUCGCUUCGAAAUGCAUUUAAAAUAAUGAAGGCAUGCAACGGAUAACGUCAUACUGUGGAAGAGCAACCCGGUCGGCGGUGUAUCGCGUUCCGGCUGGCUGGUUCUGGCCCAGCGGGGUAUCCCGGAACACCAGCGGCAUCGCCCGGGCGGCCUGGUAGGGCUGCUGUACCGCGGAGACCGGCGUCGUUGAUCGUCGACUAUCGCCUCGACGACCCGUCGGUCGGGCGUCCUCGGGGUGGCGCCGCGUGUCUGUCUGGUUGUAAUGUUGACCACAAGUACCCCCCUAUUCUGACCGGGUUCUGACCCCGGACGAAGAUCGGACGUCGAGUGUAAGAGUGCAGGGGAGUUGCUUGGUACGGUAGGGCCUUAAAACUCCUUGGGCCCGUGGUCUGCUUCCGACAUCAGCAGGUCGUCAAGUCCCACUUACCCCGCGCGCCCCCUAGGGCCGCGGACCUCGAUUCCUCCAUUGGAAUCCCUCCUCCAUCAGGCUGUUGGCAUUGCAAGCACACUGUACUGCGGUGGCUUUCGUAGUGCUGGUGAUAAGGUCAAAACAGCACGUGAAGAAUAGACCUCGAGGUCUUCUGUCUUCUACACGGCCCUGUACGAGAAGUCUCUCCAUUGAAUCUUCCUAUCUGGAGAUGUGCCCAAAGAACAUGAGAAUUCUUUUUUUUUAUUGCAUAGAUAGGUGGACGAGCUCACAGCCCACCUGGUGUUAUGUGGUUACCGGAGCCCGUAGACAUCUACAAAGUAAAUGCCGCUAAUAAAAAUAUGAUAAUUAAACGAAGAGGCAGGUAUUAGGGUAAAAAUAAUUGAUACAAACAAUAGUUUUUUUUUUUUGUGUCUAUUGUAAUACUUUAAAGGCCAAAUUCCUAUGAAACUAUAUGUAAUACAGAAAACGAAUUUAAAUGUAAAGGCGUUAGUGGUUAAGGUCGAUUAUCGAUUAUUCGUUGAACAACUAAUACACUAAAAUCAUAAUAUAAUUUGCUAAUUUAUGUAGAGUGAUGAUAAAACCCAAUCCCAGACAAACAAACUGUAGUAGUCAAAGAUAAUAACCACAGUUCAAUGAACCACACAAAGUUAGCUCAUUACCUCGAAACAAAAGGUUCAAUGAACCUCUGUAAAACAAUACAAAUACUCAUUCAAUUAAUAUACUGCAUCAUAAAAAACUCCACUACGUAUAAAAAAAAGUUUUGAAACAGUCGGUAAUGCGGACGGAACCUAGUUUCCGUUUACGAGGUGUCGGCGCGUAGAGGGUGCGGUGACCGACCCGCUACGGCGUAGAGUGCAGCGCACGUAGCUCGUAGCGGUUUUUCUGUUUCACUUUAAUAUUCAACGUAUGUACUUGAAAACAAAAAAAUAGGAUAGGCAAGUUUUUUUUUUAUUGUUCAGUUAAUUGAACGAGCUUACGUCGUAUUUGGUAUUAAGCGGUUACCGUAGCCCACAGAUAUCACAAUACGAAUGUGAAUAUACAAUAUGAACAUUUGUAAAAUUUCAUCAAAGGAAUGCCAAGUUCUGAUGCUGUGAAAAAAAAAAUUUGAAUACAAUAAAAUAGCGUUGCAUCUUAUAAUUCAACAAACAUACAAAAAAUGUGAGAUUUAAUUUUCGUCCAAUUGAAUAAUAAUAUCAAUAUGAGUCCGAUAUAUACAGACAAUAUUUAUUGACAAGUGUUUCCACAGUUGAAACGUUAUAUAAGAGGAUCGUGUCGAUACAGUUUUGUUUAUUGAACAUCCGCCCUGACCCACAUACCGCCUUCGGACCCCUUUCUCGGCUGCUCUAAGCACGUUAUACUCACUUCACACCGCUCGUACAUGACAUGCUUCUUCUAGAAACAUCUUCGAAUGUAUUCUUUUUCUACAUAAGUGAACUCUCACGGACUAUCUCUUAUUAAGUAUUACAAUCUAAAUGCCUUCAUACACCUUGGUACUUAGGUCUAUAUCUCAAUUGUAUAGUACGCAUAUAACGCAACUUGGAGUCGUCGUGGCCUAAAGGAUAAAGACGUCUGGUGCAUUCGUGGUGAGCGAUGCAACGGUGUUCGAAUCCCGCAGGCAAGUACAAAUUUUUCUAAUGAAAUACGUACUUAACCAAUGUUCACGAUUGACUUCCACGGUGAAGGAAUAACAUCGUGUAAUAAAAAUUAAACCCGCAAAAUUAUAAUUUGCGUAAUUACUGAUGGUAGGACCUCUUGUGAGUCGCCGCGGGUAGGUACCACCACCCUGCCUAUUUCUGCCGUGAAGCAGUAAUGCGUUUAGGUUAGGUUUGAAAGGUGUGGCAGCCGUUGUGAGUAUACUGAGAACUUAUAAAUUAUACCUCAAAGUGGAUAACGCAUUUACGUUGUAGAUGUCUAUUGGCUUCUUUUUUUAAAUAGUGGAAGUUAAAUCGCUUGAUGCGAGUACACAGAGAGUUCUUAUAGACAAUGACGACUAAUUUCAAUUAAUGAUAAUGAAUUCACGAUAUAUUUCUGUUAACUUAUCACACCCACUUCUAAUUAAUUGAUCAUCUUGACGCUUGGUGAUGAUCUGUAGCUCCGAUGAUAAUACAGUAAAAUGAUAUCGUCAGGCUAUAGAAUCACUCGUCACCUCGUCUAGCCCAUAAGAUCGGUUCGGAAUAAUACGAUGCGCAAAAUUUUGUUUAAGUUUUUUAUCUGCAGAUGUCUGAUGUCUGCGAACCCGAGCGAGAGAAUAUUCAACAUAUAUUUGAGUGAAAACAUUUCUAACGGCGGACCUCGGUCUGAAGGACGUAGGAUCUGGCUCUUUGCCAACUACCACCCCGCUUCUUCGCCCUUUCUACUGUCACUAUACAUAUCUAUUACACUUCAUGCACAUUAUUGUACAUUGUAUUUUUUUUCCUAUCAAUUCUAUUAACCUCGAGGGGUCACACUUGAUUCUCCGGGUACUAACUAGGUGACGGUGUUCAAACCUGACGACGCUGCUAACACUAACCCUAGCAAGAGCAGUGCUUCGCAGAAUCUACCUCCGGAUCAGAAACGCGACUUACUGAGAAAAUCCGGCGAGAAACUCAGUGGGCUGUGUCUAUGAGUUAAUUCGCUCGCCGAGCCCUUCAUCGCAAGCGAUGGGUUCGACGGGAACCGUGACCGGUGCUUGAGAUACCUAAAGGCACCGUUAGUGGAUCGGGAGGAUCCGAAAUGUAUUAGUGGACUUAACGUCGAAAGCAUUUUCUACCAGUCGACCAAGGAUGAUGCCGAUAGGAACACUGUAGGUGCAUUAGUUGAAAAAUUAAAGAAAAACUGAAGCUAUACUAUUGUUAUGCCGAUAAGAGUAACUCAUCUAUCGCCGAAUAGUCGAACGAAUAUAGAAGGAUCUAGUUGCACCUAGAACGCUCGAGAAGUACAGCGCCAUCUAUUGUCAGAUAGCGAAAACACAAUACUCGAAACGUGUGGAAUAUUCUCGAUAAUUCUAGGGAUGUGGUAUCGGCUAUAAAAGCGUUGCAGAGAUGCAGUGAAUCGGAACUACUCGAAGCGAAACAGCAAACGGAUCACCUGAAGCGAAGCCCUUUGGCUUCUUUAAGCAAAUUGAGAGUUUUAAAAUGUUUGUUAAGUGGUUUAAUUGUUCUAAGUGUUGAAUACAGUUUUUAGUUGUACUUUGACGGAAUUUUAUUUAUCCCAAACCCAGACCAAAAGUUUAAAGAGUUACAGAUUCGGACAGUGUCCAACCAGAGAAUCACUAAAGUAAUAAAUAUUCCUAAGAAUCCCAUGUCAACGUUUUGGGGAAUAGUACUUCGAACCAUAUUGUUUACCAUGAAAACGCCAUAAAGAAUGAUUGCAUGAUCGGGAUCAUUCUCAAUCAAAGCAAACAUUCGUUCCAAUCAGGGUUAUUAGUUCAAAAACAUUUUGAACCUUCCUUUCCGUCGAACCCUAUCCCUUUGCAAUACGGUCUAAAAUAAAUACGCCAUAUCCACCCGAAAGGAAAUGCUUAUCCAAAAAUAAACCGUUUGUGAAUGAUCGUAAAGAAGAGAAUGGCUUAGUGGAGGUCAGCAGGUUAACGGCCGGGGUCGACAACCCGUGAGUCACAAAACUACCCCAUUAUAUGUAGGCCUUUCCCAUUUGCAGACGCACGUAAUAUAUGAUUUCUACGCGAGUUCUAUGUCCGUUCUCGCUUUUAUAUCGUCAUAGUGUUUUGACAAAAAAAAACAUUAAUAUUUUUUUCUUUAAAAUCGAUUUUAUUCCUCAGAAAAUGUAAUCGAAUUAUUUUGUUCCUUGUUCUACUAAAUGAAGUUGGUGCAACACGAUUUCUGGUACCCUGCGGAAUAUCAGGAAACUAUUAGGUCCGUAGCGACCGACUAUUAGGGAAAGUACUAGCAGUAACUCACGCAGGUCUGGAAAAAAUAUCACCACAAAAGAUCCUCGAAUUACCAAAUUAAAUUGUAGCUAUACUUAAGUUAGUUCAUUUAUUAUCUUAUUUAUUUCACGAUACAGGAAAGAGUUAAUAAUGUUCAACAGAAAUGACUUCAAGCAAUAGUCAAUUAAGAUUCACAAUAAAUUAGUAAAAAGUUGAAACCGCCUUUCACAACAGUAAUGAUAAAUAUUUAAUCAUCAGAAUGCUCGUGUGCAAAGCCAAACUGCGGCCUCAGCAGUAUAACCUCUUUGUCGCAUUGGGGUAAGUCGAGCGAACGAGACGCCACAUCUAGACUACAAUGAGCCAGUACGAGAUAAAAUGCCGUGUAAUCGGUUUUAGCAUCACCAUGUUUUCUUUUGCGUUCACAAUGUAAUCUAACAUUGUAAGUUUGGUAACUGACUUGGAAAUGAAUGAUAAAGUCGAUAAAUUUGUUGAAUAUUCUUAUUUGAUUGUAAAUUUUAUGUAAUGUGAUCCGAUGCAGUUCACUCGUCGAUAGCUCUUCGUCGAAUGACGGCGAGUCGGUUAGUUGGUCAGGGCUUACGUAUUCACUAAAUAUUGAAUUCAGGUAGGGGGGAGGGGUUGGGGCGUCCAGGCCCACAUCUCCAUUCCAUCAUACCUGUAGUAUAUUAUACUGUCUGAUGGCCUUGACUUGCGUACAAUGCCACGACCGCUUUGAUACAUUUCAUGCGACUAACCUUGAAUUUAAAGGGUUCCCUGACGGGCGCCGACAUCAUGCAAAUAUCUGUCUGUUCUGUAUGCUAACGUACUCUUAU